rnacentral:misc_RNA from 1 species
AACGCAUAUUGCGCUCGAAGCUUCGGCUUAGAGCAUGUCUGCCUCAGCGUCGAUGUAUCUCUCACCCCACCUCUCCUCGGAGACUUGUGGGUGGAUCUGGUGGUCCCGGCGAGCUUCGGCUCGGCGGGUCCGCUGAAGUUGAGAGGCUAAUUCAGGACCGUUAUGGGCCGCAUCUAGGUAGGUAGCUCACGCUCCAUAUUUGGAUGUUGGCUUGGUUUUGGGUCGUGCCUUCAAUCGGGAACCAUUUACAUUUUCGACCUGAGCUCAGGCAAGAACACCCGCUGAACUUAA